rnacentral:piRNA from 1 species
UAGGCCACUCAGCGUGUGUAGCCUCC